rnacentral:misc_RNA from 1 species
UCGUAACAAGGUUUCCGUAGGUGAACCUGCGGAAGGAUCAUUCACAAGAUUAUAUUUUAUAUUACUUUGUGGAACAUUUGGUUGAAUUUACAUGUUUUAUUACAAAAAAUUAAUUAUAAUUAAAAAAAUAAUUUUAAGAAAACCUCCAACAACGGAUCUCUUGGUUCCCAGAUCGAUGAAGAGCGCAGCGAAUUGCGAAAUGUGAUGUGUAUUGCAGUGAAUCAUCAAUUCUUGAACGCACAUGGCACCCCUUUUAGGGGUAUGCUUGUAUGAGGGUGUUUAAUAUGAAAUUGCUUUGGCUUUUUUUAAAUAAAUGGUUUUUCAAAUUGUUACUAAUAGACGAAAGAAUCAGUGCAACAAGCUGUGUUGAAUCUUUCAUUAAAUCUUUUAGUUAACUACUUUAACUAUUUGCACCUCAUAUCAAGCAAGACUACCCGCUGAACUUAAGCAUAUCAAUAA